UCUACCUCUUGUCAUCUAUCCUAAGGAAAAUAAUCAUAAGAUAUCUGCAAAGAAUUAUGUGAAUGUUGAUAAUAAUUUUAUCUGUAACAACAAAAACUUGCAAGGUGGCAGAUAUCAGUUUAUGUCCCUGAGCGCCAAAUCCAUCCUUGUUUGUCUUGUUUUUUUGUGACUGGAGCUGGACCCUAUGGACAUUUCUCUUUUGAAAAUUUGGGGGCUAUUCAACUUUGUCAAUUGAGGGCACUGGAGAGACUCUGCAAUGCAAUAGAGGUUCCAGGUGCACCUGCAGGCCAUCUUUCUCUACCUGCAGCAAUUUCAGGGCAGCUUCGGUCUGUUCAUACCCUCCAGCAAUGGUGGGCCACUUCUACAGACAAACUCUGGCCCACUCACAGCACCAAGCAAAAGAAGGUCACUCCUGUAGACCAGCUUCCAACCACCCACAUCCACCAGUGAUGAUAGAUUGCUUUUAUUGAUCAGUGCCAGCCUGUGCACUCAGUCAAGUUUCUUUGUUCCUGCAGGCUGCCUGUGGUAGUUACUACCUCUCAGAAGAGGUUUGAAUCUCAGCCUUGGGGCAAGGAGGGCUUCUCCUAGUCCUAAGUACCUUUACUGUUCUUCUUCCUCAGCCUAGAGAUAAUAGCUGCUUUUUAAAUUUGUGUUGCCUGGGCCUCCUACUGACCCUCACAACAUCCCUGGAAAUUAGUGUCUUAUAGGAGAACGUUGACAUUUGUGAGCAGACAUCGUGAAUAUUUUCCAAGUCUUUUAGUAGUAAAUUUUUUAGUAAAGUUUUGGAAUAUUAAAUUUUCUGUGUUCAGAUUGUCAUAAGUUUUUGUCUUCGACUUGGACCUUGAAUGAUGCAGAAGUUAAAGGCUGAAAAAUAAUGGACUUUUUAAAUAAAUAAGGAGGUAUCCACACAAUGGCAUAAAAUUGUUUUUUUCCUUCUUUUUUUUGUUUUCAUUUUAUUAUUUAUUUAUUUGUUUGUUUGUUUUUUGUUUGUAAAAUUGUUUGAAUUAUCUAUUGUUCUCUUGGUGAGGUGACCCAGACCCUUGUUUGAAAGGGUUUUAUUGGCUGGGUGUGGUGGCUUACGCUUGUAAUCCCAGCACUUUGGGAGGCUGAGUGGCAGACCACCUGAGGUAAGGAGUUUGAGACCAGCCUGGCCAACAUGGUGAAACCCCACCUCUACUAAAAGUACCAAAAUUUUCUGGGCAUGGUGGCAGGCUGUAAUCCCAGCUACUUGGAAGGCUGAGGCAGGAAAAUUGCUUGAACCCAGAAGGCAGAGGUUGCAGUAAGCUGAGAUCAUGCCACUGUACUCCAGCCUGGGCGACAGAGUGAGACUCCAUCUCAAAAAAAAAAAAAAAAAAUGAAAAACAACAACAACAACAAAAAAGAAAAAACAAAACUGAAAGAAAGGGUUUUAUUUAUUUCCUCUCUCUUUUUAAAAUUUUUUUUGGCUCAUAUUUGUUGUAAUUGCUCAUUUGUUAGGGUCAUUGGACACAGAAAUACCAAGAUGCCUCCGGAAAUCAUGAAUAUUCCCCAAGUCCUCAAUCAGAAAGCAUGAACAGAGCAAUUGGUUUUCCUGGGGUUUAGACAUGGUCUUUCUUGUUCCUAUUGUAUAGUAACCCUAGCUCCUCAAGGAAAUCAUGGUCUAUGGGCUCUGCCAAACAGCAGUUCCUUUCUUUGCUUGCUGGCUCACUGGCUUAAGGAACUCAAAGUAAUCUUUUGGCAAUUUCAGCUUCCAGGUCAGUGGGGACAUUAAUUGUUUCUUGGUAGAAAUGUCACUCUACUCCAAGAAAUAAGAUCUUUAAUCCAGAAAACCUGAGUUUUCAGGAACAGAAUGCACAAACUUUUGUGGUCAUUCACUGGGAGUUCUAAUGAUCAGGUUCAAUCAUAUUUCUAUUCUUUAGUUCCUAGACCCAUUCAUUUUAGCUACUGGGCAGAGAACCAUGUACCAGCUAUUAGUGUUGUAUGUACUCCAUAUCAUGAAGCUAUUUUUUCACCACAAGGUUUUCUCCCCAAGCCGGUGCCAUAACUGAGACUUUACCAGGCUAUUCCUUCAUUUUAGGUGUUUCUGGGGUGUAGAGUAAAUGAUAAGAGCAGACUCCCAUGAUAAAUGACCACCAUGGUGCACUUCCUUUGCUAUGAAAUGUCAUCUUGGUCCUAGUCUGUAUUGCAAGGCGCACCAUACUGAUAGACCAGGUACUGUUGAGCCGUUGAUGGUGGUACUGAUAGAGGGACUGCAGGAAGAAAAGGUAAAUCCAUACUCAGAGUAUGUGUUGAUUCUCAUAAGGACAAAUUGGUAUGCCCUCCAAGACAGGUGGUUCUGAUAGAUGGUUGUGUAGCCAGCCUCCUUGAGAAAUGGUUCUAAGUCAAGGUCUUGGCAUGGGAUUCCACGACUGACAAGUUGGAAAUUUAGCAUUGGCAAUUGCUGGGUUAUCUUUUGUGAGUGGGCACUUAUAUUGUUGGACCAUGCGUAGCUACCAUUGCAGCACUAGAGACACUGUUUAUGGGCUUUGCUGUACAAGAACUGGGGUGGCUAAAGAGGGCCUGGCUAAGAGGCAGGAAGGAUCAUCCUGAGCACAUGGUUGUUGAGUCUCCUCUGCAGUUGAGCAGUAGUAUGAGAUCUGCUUUGUGUUUAUUAUCAUAGGAUUGUCUACAUACUUUUUCCCAUACAUUUUCUCUGAUCUUCAAGUCUUUUUUUUCUUGCCCUAUCCAAAUGUCCAAGCCAUUCACUACUGCUUAGAAGCUAGUGCAUACUUAAGGAUCUGGUCCUUUCUUCCAUAUGAAGUGGAUAACCAAGUGUGUUGCUUGUAGUUUCACCCACUGGGAGGAUUUCCCUUUACCUCUCUUCUUUGGGGCCACCUCAUGUGAGAAUGAAAUGCAACAGCAGACUAUCUCUGGCUAGAGGCAAUAAAUUAUGCUAGCCCAAUUAUGCACCAGGCCUGAGCUGUUUCCUUCACCAUUGAUUGCUUGUAGGUAGCAGUUGUGGAAGCUUCCUGUGGACCACAUGAACAGAUUCAGGUGAUGCAGCUGCUCAAACCCAUAAAUCACCUGCAGUGUGUUCUGAAAAUGUGUGGCUCAAGUGCAACUACCCUAAAAGACCAACUUGGUGAGUGAUGAGAUGAGUGGGAAGUAGCGAGGAUGACCUGGAUUUUCCACUGAGUAACUGGCCAAGUCCUGGGGACAAAUGAGGCCAAGUGAAUCCUAGGGAAAGGUACAAAAACAGGAGAAUGGAUCGUGUGUUCAGUAUUGGAACUGGUGACUAUUAAGUGGCUGUGGGGCCUCUGAAUAUAGAUGGUGUGAUAGUUUUAAAACAUGUCUGAAAAAUCUUUGACACUGUUUCCAUCACAAGGUGAUGUCUGUAUCUCCUCCCCUUGAACCUAAGUGGGCCUUUGUGACAGAUCUGAUGAAUAGAAUGCAGCAGUGUGAUGUCCAAGGCUAGUUUACAAAAGCCCAUGUUGGUUUCUCUGGAGACACUUGCUCUGGGAGCUAUAAGUGUCCUUCAACUAAAGCCUUCCAGGAACACACCUGCAGCUAAACAAAUUGGAUUUAUUGCUCAUUGUAGCAGGAGAACAUACACCAGGGGGAACCAGAGGAUCUCUCAAUAAGAAGGGAUAAAUAAUCACAAAAAGACAUCAAUGAAGCCUAUAAAAAUGAGAGUGCAUGCAAGAAGAUGUGAUUGUUAUAAAACAGGUGCACCAGGCCACUCAGAGAGCAAGCCUAAAGGAAAAGUCAUCAUGGAACCAACAAAGAUGAUACAAACAGGACGAGUACGAAAGAUAUAAUAGAAGAAAAUGACCCUGCAUUGAAAAUGAUCAAAGUACGCAGAUUGAAAAGGCUCACAAAUUCCAAUAAAAAGAAUUGAAACAACAACAAAGAAAUGCUACAAUAACAUUCUUUAAAUUAUAUUAAGUAUAAUGUUUUAGCAAAAAUAAGUACUCAGUCAGUAGUAAGAAAUUUGCCAAUAAAGAAACCAAAACUAAACUCUAGCUUUUCUUAUGUAAUACUGAAUCCCAGAAGAACUUGGAAACAUAUAUGCAUGCUUUACCAGGAUCAGAUAAUAAGGCAGGUAUUUAAGAUUGGAAAAGACCUCUCUCACUGGUAAAGGCAAUAGGAAGAUAUAUUUUAGAAGUAGAAGCUCUCUAACAUAGACACUAUUCUGCAAAAAAAUAAGAUAAAUAUAACAAAAGAAAAUGAGCUUCAGUGUAUUUUGGUCACUGAGAGAUGAUUCGAAAUAAGACUUUUAAUAAUGAGAAUGCUAAUAUUUAAAAGAAUAAGUGGAGCUUUUCCUUACUCAGUUUGUUCAAUAAAAACAUGGGUCCACUCUAACCUGAUAUAUUGUGUUGCUUAAAGGGAAGGCCUGGUCCUGUCUUUUCUGCUUUCUUCUCUGUUCAUGGUAUAGAAAAUGUAUUUUUGUUAACCAAUUAUUGACUUCACACUUGAGGUAGACUUUGUUGCCAUGUUGGAUGGCUAUUUUGUUAGACAGUAAAACAGUUUUCUGCCACAUGCCUAGGUGAUUUUAAAUAAUGUAGCCCUUACCCUCAUCUGCUGUUAUAGGGACCACAUGCUUUGUGGUAACCAGGUGCUGCCAAAUUAGAUGAUGGCAGGCUCCUGAUCCAUGCCUGUCAAGUCAUAGGUGGUUAAGGGAAUGGAAGUCAGAGGCAGACUGUCUCGUUCCAAAUCCAAGGUCUAUCAGUUGACUAUGAUCUUCAUUUUCUUAUUCUAUAAAAUUAGUUUAUUGAUUGUUCCUACUCAAUUGGCUUGAGGUGAAGCUUAAAUGAGUUAAUACACGUAACUAUUUGACUGGUACAAGACAAAAUCCUAUUACAUGUUCUGAAAAAAAAUUAUCUACACGAACUAAAGAAAUGAAUUCUAUUUCCUCCACUACUGCAACUCAAAACUUCUAGUCACUAAAACUGUGGGGUUUUUUCUAUAUCAGUUUGUCAGACACCUAUUAGAUGUCCUAUAAUUCAGUUCAGUUCUGACAUCAUCUGCAUGGAAACAGCAUCAGAUCCCAUGGACUAAUAGCUCAGUGUCAUAAGUCUGGCUGUAAUGGCCCAAGUGGGUUAUCCUUGCCUACUGCAAUACGUGGAGAUGGUGGUGUUGCAGUAGAGAAAGUGUUUAAUAAUCACAAGGCCAACCCAGCGGAAGGAUGAGAGAUAACUCUUACAUCUCCCUCCCUAAGAGCUCAGGGGCUGGGGAUUUUAAGGAUAAUUUGGCAGACAGGGGGCUAGGGAAUGAGUGCUGCUGAUUAGUUGUGGAUGAUAUCAUAGGAGUAUCCAAACUGGCUUCUCAUGCUGAGUCAGAUUCUGGGUGGAAGUUUCUGUGUGGGAGUUAAUUCCUUGCCAUGAGUCACAGGUCUGGGUGGAGUUGGUUAGUUGCCAGAAAGUGAAAGUUUAAAAAUAUCUCAGAGACCAAUCUUAGACCAAUCUUAGAUUUUGACAAUAGUGAUAUUAUCUAUAGGAGAAAGUGGGGAAGUUAAAAAUCUUGUGACCUCUGGCUACAUGAUUCUUGAGCAGUAAGCUAUUAUGGAAAGGCAAGCUAGGAAACGAUGGCUAGUUAUUGUUUAACUAUACCUACAUCUUAGCAGAAUUCAGGUCCUUCUCAUAAUCCCAACCUUGUGUAGUUUCAUUAGUCUUACAAAGGCAAUUUCAGCUGCCCACCAAAUAGGGAAUUAAUUUCAGAAAGGGACUGUUUUUUUUGUUUUGUUUUGUUUUGUUUUUGAGACAGAGUUUCGCUCUUGUUACCCAGGCUGGAGUGCAAUGGCGCGAUCUUGGCUCACCGCAACCUCAGCCUCCUGGGUUUGGGCAAUUCUCCUGCCUCAGCCUCCUGAGUAGCUGGGAUUACAGGCACGCACCACCAUGCCCAGCUAAUUUUUUGUAUUUUUAGUAGAGACGGGGUUUCACCAUGUCGACCAGGAUGGUCUUGAUCUCUUGACCUCGUGAUCCACCCACCUUGGCCUCCCAAAGUGCUGGGAUUACAGGCUUGAGCCAUCGCGCCCGGCCUCAGAAAGGGACUGUUUACCAUCUUUGUUUUAAAGUUAACAAAGGCAGUUAGCUUGUGAUAUUAGAAGAAAGAGGGAAUCAGCUAUGUCAGAUUUCUCUCACUGUCAUAAUUUUUGCAAAGGUGGUUUCAUGGCCCCAUUUGAAAUGAGAGAAUGGAAAGUGCAGGUUUUCACCUGAGCUUUGGACUGGGUGGAAAUACAUUAGAAGUUCCCAGGACUUCCUCCUCAGAUUUGACCAUUUGCUGGAAUGGUUUGCAGAACUUAGGAAAAAUGUUUACUUGUUAGAUUACCAGUUUACUUCAAAACGAAAUUACAAAUCAGGAACAACCAGAUGGAAGAGAUGCACAGGGCAUUGUAUGUGGGAAGGGGCACGAAGCUUCCAUGCACCCUUGGGCUCAUCAUCCUCUCAGCUCCUACAUGUAUUUAGCAACAUAGAAGCUUUUUUUUUUUUUUUUUUAAUGUCUUUAUUUCUCUACUUGCUCUGAAGAUUUUUGAAAAAUGUUCUUAGGCCAGGUGUGGUGGCUCAUGCCCAUAAUCCCAGCGUGUUGGGAGGCCAAGGUGGGCAGACCACCCUGAGGUCAGCAGUUUGAGACCAGCCUGGCCAACAUGGUAAAACCCCGUCUCUACUAAAAUUAAAAUAAAAUAAAAUACAAAAAAUUAGUCAGGGCUGGUGGUGCAUGCCUGUAAUCCCAGCU